GACGAACGCUGGCGGCGUGCUUAACACAUGCAAGUCGAGCGGUAAGGCCCUUUCGGGGGUACACGAGCGGCGAACGGGUGAGUAACACGUGGGUGACCUGCCCUCAGCUCUGGGAUAAGCCUGGGAAACUGGGUCUAAUACUGGAUAUGACUCCACGGUGCAUGUCGUGGGGUGGAAAGCCUUGUGCGGCUGAGGAUGGGCCCGCGGCCUAUCAGCUUGUUGUGGGGGAUGGCCUACCAAGGCGACGACGGGUAGCCGGCCUGAGAGGCGACCGGCCACACUGGGACUGAGACACGGGCCCAGACUCCUACGGGAGGCAGCAGUGGGGAAUCUUGCGCAAUGGGCGAAAGCCUGACGCAGCGACGCCGCGUGAGGGAUGACGGCCU
rnacentral:rRNA from 1 species